rnacentral:rRNA from 1 species
GACGAACGCUGGCGGCGUGCUUAACACAUGCAAGUCGAACGGAAAGGCCCAGCUUGCUGGGUGCUCGAGUGGCGAACGGGUGAGUAACACGUGGGUGAUCUGCCCCUAACUUCGGGAUAAGCUUGGGAAACUGGGUCUAAUACCGGAUAGGACAAUCGUUUAGUGUCGGUUGUGGAAAGUUUUUUCGGUUAGGGAUGAGCCCGCGGCCUAUCAGCUUGUUGGUGGGGUAAUGGCCUACCAAGGCGUCGACGGGUAGCCGGCCUGAGAGGGUGGACGGCCACAUUGGGACUGAGAUACGGCCCAGACUCCUACGGGAGGCAGCAGUGGGGAAUAUUGCACAAUGGGCGCAAGCCUGAUGCAGCGACGCCGCGUGGGGGAUGACGGCCUUCGGGUUGUAAACCUCUUUCGACAGGGACGAAGCUUUGGUGACGGUACCUGUAUAAGAAGCACCGGCUAACCACGUG